GCCUGCCUAGCUCAAUCGGAUAGAGCGUCAGACUUUUAAGGCAAUGCCAUCUGAAGGCUGCGGGUUCGACCCCCGCGGUGGGCU
rfam:Cylindrobasidium torrendii FP15055 ss-10 unplaced genomic scaffold CYLTOscaffold_53, whole genome shotgun sequence.